UCUGUGGCCUGCUUUGGGCAGGAGGUCAGACUAGAUGAUCAUAUUGGUCCCUUCUGACGCUAAAGUCUAAGAGUCUGAGAGUAUCAGAGUCAGGAU